AUUCCACCGCUUCACGCCAUCGAUCAGAUCGGAGGAGGAGCCCUCCGAUCCGACCUCCCCAAUGUGCGUACCGUCGGACUCCCCUCCGAUCAACACGAUCCCAACGCGUAGCUGCGUCGCUGCCGGCCUCUCCUGCGAACUACCCUGCCCCAACACGCUGCAUCUUCGCCGCCGGCAUAUCCUGUUGGAUCGAUGCUUCCCGCCUCACGUGCGACGUCCUACUCCGUGCCCCAUCCCAGAUGGACUCACGCGACCUUGGCCCAGUGCCUCAUCCCUGAUAAACUACCACGAGCGCGCCCCAGCGCCUCUUCCCGACGCCCUCCCCCAAUCGCCCCUGAUUCAACUUCUGUUCGAUGACAGGUACUCCUUAACGAUUUGAUUCCUCUGCGUUUUACUUGUGGCGUUCAUGCUGAAACAAAGCAAUAGUAUGGGAUACAGUGUAGUAUCUGGUUACGUGCUAGUUAGUUCAACUUGCAAAUUUGUUCACUAGUAAGCUUUGCUACCUUCUGCUGCAAUUCGCCAUUGAUCUUGAUGUGGCUCCGUGAUUUGCCUAGAUUAAUCACUGUCAGGUUUUGAUUGAGCGGACUUGGUUGUAGCCUAAUUCACUGUGAGAUUAGUAAGUCAUUAAUUUUCCUUUGUAUUUGUAUCUAAUGUCUACCACAGACUUCCUUGAUUCACUCUUUAUAUUUAUCUAUUUGAUAGUUGCAUUGUCAAAUCUGUUCUUUCAUGCCAUUUUUUUUUGCUGUUAGCUUUCUUCCUUCAGAAGGUUCUUGAAGUUGGGAUUGUUAUUUGGUUUAGGAUCAGGUAACACAUUAAACACAUGCAAAAGCAUGUUAAUUUUGAACUACUAUUGAUCGCCAACUUUAUUAGCUCCUUUGCUAAUUUCUUACCUAGUAUAAGAUGCUACUGGUAAUUGCAAUCUAUCAUUGUUGUAAUUGCAGAGUCCGGCUGAUGGUUUAAUAACUUAUUCCCCUCAUUUGGGAAAUUGUACGCAAUGCAUGGCUCACACUGCAUUGCCCUUUCCAUUGGAUUACAUAUAUGCAGAUCAUGGGCGCAAGGUACCAAUUUGAAUGCUCAAGCAUUAGUUUACCUACUUGAAGUUUUAUACUCUAUGCUAUAUGAUAUAUGCGCACUAUAUACUGGAAUACUGCUUUGCAUUCACAAUGUAUGUUAAACUUGUUAUAUUGGGAUCAACGUGAUUGAUAGUGUAGUAGCAAAAAUUUCUUAUCAUCUGCAGGUCAAUACAUGUGGGGUUUCCUCCUUGGAGGAUGGAGAAACAUCACUUUAUUAGGAUCAACGUGAUUGAUAGCGUAGUAGUAAAUCUUGGGUAUCACUCUUGGCAAGUUUGGACUUGUAACCAUAGGUUAUUAUUGACUCAAGUGUAUGAAUCAUAUUCUGAAAAUCUCACACUUACUACUAGGUACCAGUAUGGCAGUAUGUGUAUGCAUCUACAUCUGGACACAGUUUCAUGAUUUACUAUGCUUCAUUAUAUUUUAUUUCAAAUUUUAGUAAAUUUGAAUGCUAAAAUUAUUAUGGGUAAAUGCCGCUAAUUAUUUUUUUAGGUCCAAGAAGGAUGCACAACCUGUUGGAAAAAAAUCUAGACUAGGUAAAAAUCUACAUCCUUUGUUUUUUCUAGUAUGUCCAUUUAGAGAUGUUACUUAGUUAACCGCUGCAGGUUCUGUUCAUAACAUCAAGGUAUGAUGCUACAUUUAUUGUUAGGUUGCACUCUUGUGUCAAUCGAAAUCAAAUUCCUGUAUAAAACUUUCUAAUUGAGUGCAGCAGGCUCAAACAUAGAGUGGACCUGAGGAUACUUCGGUUGGAAACAAUUCUUGGCUUCUCGCGUUUGCUUCAACUUCAGUCUGCACGGAAGUGAAGAAUAACCAUGUGUGUUUGUAGAAUUGGAGAAAAACAUUAGUAGUGUAGUUUCUGAUCGGUGCAAUGGAAUAGCUAGUGCGUGCAAUUUAUGAGUUUCAGUGUCAAUUUAUUUCAGCACAGUGAUACUUUGUAAAGACAGUAUGUACUUUCUACUUUCAAGCAAUAAAGAAAGAUUUA